CAGAGGUCCCGAGCGUUGUCCGGAUUCACUGGGCGUAAAGGGUGCGUAGGUGGUGAGGUAAGUCGGAUGUGAAAUCUCCGGGCUCAACCCGGAAAUGGCAUUGGAAACUACCUUGCUGGAGGAUUUGAGGGGGGAUUGGAAUACUUGGUGUAGCAGUGAAAUGCGUAGAUAUCAAGUGGAACACCAGUGGCGAAGGCGAAUCCCUGGAAAAUACCUGACACUGAGGCACGAAAGCUAGGGGAGCAAACAGGAUUAGAUACCCUGGUAGUCCUAGCCCUAAACGGUGCUUGCUUGCUGUAAGAGGAAUCGACCCCUCUUGUGGCGGAGCUAACGCGUUAAGCAAGCCGCCUGGGAAGUACGGUCGCAAGAUUA
rnacentral:rRNA from 1 species